ensembl:lincRNA 1700023F02Rik RIKEN cDNA 1700023F02 gene
GCUCCUUCAGCCCUUCCCUCAAUUUUUCCAUUGGAGUUCUGGGCUCAUUCUGGACAAAAAAUGGGGCAGAGACUAAAGGAAAGGCCAUCCAGAGACUGCCCUACCUUGGAAUCUAUCCCAUCUGAAGACACCAAACUCCAGCACUAUUGCGGAUGCCAAGAGACCAGGGCUUGGACUUGGCUGUGUUCCUCUGCUGAAGGUUACAGCUACUGCUGCACAGCUGUCUUUGUACAGAUCUCCCCAGAUAAAGCCACAAUGUAAGGUUCCAGAUGGCCACACUUAUUUGGAGACACCAUUUAACACGGUUCUGCUUCUACUUCCAUGAGAACCUAGUGAAGAAGACACAGCCAGAGCUUUGAUCAAAGAUUCCAAAUGCAAAUACAACUAACCACCCAACUGGUCCCAUCAGCCA